GCGGGAGCGCGGGGCGCCUUGGGGGGGGCACUGCGUGGCCUUACCCCCUGCUUUCCCCACAGCCUGGGAUCACAUCUGGAAGGAGCACACGCAAGUGCCCAGCAGUGUGGCCGUCUACACAGAUGCCCUGGAUGGGAAGGGUUAAAUGCCCUUCCAGGGGCUGAAGAUGCUGCUAUGACCCCGGGGCAGGGCCCCAGGGACACCUGCCUUCUGCCCCGGUGCCUGACUCCUGAUGGGCCGUGGGGGAAGGGGCUCCCCUGGUGCAUUGUGGGAGCUACGUCUGGGGGCAGGUUUGGUGGUGGGGGCUGGUCCCCCCCACCCUGAAUGCACCCGGCACAGAGGCAGGGCACAGCUGUGGUCCCCAGGGUGUUUGGUGGAGGGCACGUGGUGGCCUUGGGGCUUGGCCUGGCCUGGUCCGUCUGUCAGCUUCUGUCUUGUUAUCUCCUGUUCUGUCCCCAUUAAAUCCUACAUCCCUU